GCUUGUCUCAAAGAUUAAGCCAUGCAUGUCCAAGUAUAAAUCUUUGUACGGUGAAACUGCGAAUGGCUCAUUAUAUCAGUUAUAAUUUAUUUGAGGGAACCUUACUACAUGGAUAACCGUGGUAAUUCUAGAGCUAAUACAUGCGAUUGUGGGGCGGGUUAAACUGCCACACUAGUAUUUAUUAGAUAAUAACCAAGGUGGGAAUCAACCCCCGCUACUGGCGAGUCAUAAUAACUGCGCGGAUCGCAUGGCUUUAUGCCGGCGACGCUUCAUUCAAAUUUCUGCCCUAUCAACUUUCGACGGUAGAGUAGUGGUCUACCGUGGUUUCAACGGGUAACGAAGAAUUGGGGUUCGAUUUCGGAGAGGGAGCCUGAGAAAUAGCUACCACUUCCAAGGAAGGCAGCAGG
rnacentral:rRNA from 1 species